UCGUUUUAUCUUUUCGUCUUCUUUGCGCCUGCGUCGACAGAACUCUUUUGCUUUGUUCUUUGCUAUUUGCAAUCGUCACACGGAGUUUUAAUACAUAAGUGAAAAUAAGUAAUCUGUGAUUAUUAUUAUUAUCAGCGGCGGUGAAGAUGAAAAUACCCGACGAGCCAGCAGAAAAAGUGAUUCGGAAGGCUAUUCACAACAUUAAGAAUAGUCAUUUUCAGAAGACCUCAAG